CCUACGGGAGGCUGCAGUGAGGAAUAUUGGUCAAUGGGCGCGAGUCUGAACCAGCCAAGUAGCGUGAAGGAUGACUGCCCUACGGGUUGUAAACUUCUUUUAUAAAGGAAUAAAGUGAGGCACGUGUGCCUUUUUGUAUGUAUUUUAUGAAUAAGGAUCGACUAACUCCGUGCCAGCAGCCGCGGUAAUACGGAGGAUCCGAGCGUUAUCCGGAUUUAUUGGGUUUAAAGGGAGCGUAGAUGGGUUGUUAAGUCAGUUGUGAAAGUUUGCGGCUCAACCGGAAAAUUGCAAUUGAUACUGGCAGCCUUGAGUACAGUUGAGGUAGGCGGAAUUCGUGGUGUAGCGGUGAAAUGCUUAGAUAUCACGAAGAACACCGAUUGCGAAGGCAGCUUACUAAACUGCCACUGACAUUGAGGCUCGAAAGUGUGGGUAGCAAACAGGAUUAGAUACCCGAGUAGUC
rnacentral:rRNA from 1 species